rnacentral:lncRNA from 1 species
AUGGAAUUCCUCAAGGAGCUGGAACGGAAGGAGAGGCAGGUGAAGUUCCGGAAGUGGAAACCAAAAGCAGCAGUAUCUAAGAACUGCCGAGAAUGGUGGUAUUUUGCUCUGAAUGCUAACUUAUAUGAGAUCAGAGAGCAGCGGAAGCGCUGUUCCUGGGACUUCUUAUUGCACCGCGCCCAUGAUGCUGUAUUUUACACUGACAAAUAUUUCAGCAAGUUGAAAGGAGGCUUACUGUCUGCACACGACAAGGUGAGUGGACUGUUGCUUUGUGUUUCUUCUUUUCAUUCAGAGGGGAAGGCAGGAGGAAAUGGGAUCUGUGAAGGCAAAGUAGAGUGAGAAAUGCUUGGAAGGCUGGGCCUAGCCUCAUCCUGGCCAGAAGCAUCACCCCUCUCUGCUGCCUGAAGAGAGCCAGGCCGUGGGGUAGGAGGGUGAGGAGAUGGCCACAGUCUUGCCAGACCUUUGUACCCACAACCCUUCCUGCAUUUCUCUGUGCAAGUUACCUGUGUCACUUCAAAGCUUGAUCUCAGUCCUAAUUUUUUUCCCUCAAGUCUGUAACUGAUCCCCAUGUCCCUUGGCCUAUAUUUUCUGUCGUCCUAGUUGACUUCACUAACCUGCUUUUUAUUUUUUCCUUUGGUGGUGGUGAUGGUAUAUCUUCUAAGAGGAGGCACUGGGAUUGCUUUGUUCCUUGAUUCGUUUUGCUUUUGUGUGCAUCAGGUUUUGUGAUAGCAAUUGAGACCAUUUCUGGUAUUUUGACUCAGGUGAUACCUUUUAACUAACCAUUUUUUUAGUAGACUUUUCCAAGCAAAGAGGAGCAUUACUUUCCCUUCGGCACCCACUGUGUGGUAACCAGGGCUUCUCUCCAUCCUGCUGGCACCCGGAGGCCAUGGCCUCCCCACUUGGUUAAUGCUUCUUCAUUAGUGUCAGACAUGGUGAUGUAGGAACCUUACGAGGAAGAUGGAAUAAUGCAGGCAUUUUGUUUUUGAUGGUUUUCUGGAAGGCACAGGCAAAUUUGGAAGGAGAGAAAUUUGCCCCUGAAGUGGGCAAACAAGUAUAGUCUCCUUUUUCUUAAUGUUAAGGAAUAAGAAACAGUUUAAGAUAGUGGUAGCUACCUCUACUUUCCUUUCUCUCUCUCUCUCUCUCUCUCUGUCGUGCUAGGGACCUAACCUAGGGUCUUGUGUGUGCUAUGCAAAUGUUCUACCACUGAACUGUGCCUAGACCUCUACUUUGCUUUUAAAGUUGGCAUGUUGCUGGCUACCACUGCCCUUUCUACCUAAUAUGAAACAAGUAAAGAUGCUCCUGCCAUUGCUUGUACACCACAUGAAACAUAAGGUGCUAGGGGCCUGCACACUUAGUGUGCAAACUUGGUCCUUGGCCUCCUCAUCUCAAGGUGGGAAGAGUGGUAACCCCUGUGACCCCUUUGGUCAUCUGAGCCAGUGUGUGGGAAGCACAGCAUCGUGCUCAGCACAGGGUAGGAUAUUGUAGCUGCAUGUGCACACUAGUGGCCCACUGCAAAUUAAGUACUGUCUUGUAUGUCCUUUCUACUCACCCUUAGUCGUAGAAACUGUGAAACUUGUGAGAGACAUUUUUGAGACCAAGUGAAAUCUGUUAGGCUAUAGGGAAAAUGUAUUUAAACUCGAAAUAGUAGUAGGGAACUAGAUGUUUAUCCUGUUUCUUGGUCCUCAUUGGGAAUGUUGGGGCCUGUAGAUUCCUUGCUGGUGCCGGUAGUAAUUUGUGAGGGUCCCUACUUCCUCCGGAGCCACAGGGUCUGAUUUUGUCUGUUUUGCUUUCAUCCAAACAGGAGGAGAUAUGUCGGAUUGAGGAGGAGCAGAGCUUUGAGGAAUUGAAGAUUUUGCGUGAACUGGUUCACGAUCGGUUUUAUAAGCAAGAAGAGCUAGCAGAGGUAAGAAGUCCUCUAGAGAAGGUUUCUUCAGAUGCAGCGCACUCGCAGCACUUCAGCUUUUUCUGUCUGGGACUGUCCUUGGGUGUCCACUUGUGCUCUGCUGUGAUUGCAGAGUCUGCGAGAACCUCAGUUCGAUUCUCUGGGAGAGUCUCCUGGAGACCCAGAUGGCGGCGGAGGCAGUGGGAUGCUACAGUACCUUCAGUCCUGGUUCCCUGGCUGGGGCGGCUGGUAUGGGCAGCAGACCUCCGAGGGCAAGGUGGUGGAGGGCCUGUCAGCAGAGCGGCAGGAGCAGUGGACCCCUGAAGAGAUCCUGGGUAUGCUGGGCGCCGGCCUCCAUGUGCCCCUCUGUUACAGUGAGGGAGACACUUGGUUCGUGAAACUUGGUCUGUUGUUUAUGCAGUGGUCCAGGGUCCUUCUCAGACUUAACCAGCAGAAACAUUGUAAAAUGGUUGUUUUGUGUUGAGCAGAGACAGAGGAAAUGUUUGGGGAGGCUCCAUUUGCAGGUCUCCGACUACAAACGAACACUGGUAUAGAUCUGAGUGGCAGCUAAAUUUAGUUUCAGAGAACUAAACCAAGCAUGUUCACAUAUUUAAAUCAGAAGAACUGCAAAGCUCGGAUACCAGUCCAGAGGCACUCUUGGGACCUGUGCUGUCCAAAUGAGAGCCAUAGCCACGAAUGGCCAUUGAUGUUAAUUAUAAUUAAAUGGAAGUAAAAUUUAGUUUCUAAAUUGAGCUGGCCAUCCACGUCACAAGUGCUCAGUAGUCACUAUUUCACUGUAUUGGACAGUGCUGCUUCACACUGGACUUUAGUGUGAAUCCUGUGCUGUCUGUUUUGAAUACGUCAAGAGCCCUUCUGAAACAGUUCAGGUUGUGUUACAUUAGCAGGUACAGUGGUGGUCCAUGUCUUUGGGUUCCUUCCUUAUAAAAGGGUAAAAUGAUUAAACAGAGUCAUCACAACUGUGACUGGUAUUCUGGUUACGCCUUAAAGCCUGUUCUUCUUUUCACAUAGGCACCGAGGAGUUCUUUGACCCCACUGUAGAUGCCUCAUGUAUGAACACAUACACAAAGCGAGAUCAUGUUUUUGCCAAGCUGAACGUGCAGCUGCAGCGUGGUACAGUGACUCUGCUACACAAGGAGCAAGGGACUCCUCAGAUGAAUGAAAGUGCAUUCAUGCAGCUUGAGUUUUCAGGUACUGCCCUCGAAGAACCAGUUGCUGCCAUUUCCUCCUAGGUGCUAGGGUCUAGGUGAUUCUCAUUAUUUGUGGUGGUUAUAGUCCAGCAAGUCACACAAACACAGGCUGAACCAUUGCUCCUAAGGGAAGUUUAGUUAGAGUCUUGUGAGCUGGUUAAUAGAUAGCCUUUUCUUUUUUAUGAGUUUGUGUUUUAAAGAUAUCUUUAAGCUUGGUAUGGUGGC